rnacentral:lncRNA from 1 species
AUGCAUUUGUUGUGUUCACAUUCACUUCACAGACCAGAUCCUCCAGAACUCAGCUGUGUGUCCAUGAAGAGUGACCGGUCAAUAGAUCAUCCACCUAAGCUUAGUGGAGACUCUGAUCUUGGGUUAAGACAGAACCUGCCAGAAUCCAGCUGUGUGUCCAAGAAGAGUGAACAGUCAGUGGAUGCUCUGCAUAACUUUAGUGGACACAUCUGGGGUCAAUCUGAUCUUGGGCUCAGGUAAAUGCUUUAUGCACUGCUCCCCAAUGUCCCCCUUCUGAAGCAACAUAAUAAAAAUGCUGCAAUACGUGCCUAUACCAACGUGAUAAAAGCCAGGCCACGGUCACGUUCUUAACACUCAAUUUAACACCAUUCACUGGAAAUUUCACUUUAAAACCACCGUGAAACGUGCAGUAAGAUAUAUAAUAAGUUUUGCACAAAUGUCACCACAAGCAUGUAUAUCCAUUGAGCCUGGGUUAGUAUUUUGCCUAGUUUUUGUGUUGCACAUAUUUGCUCCCAAACACCUUUUUGAUUAAUCUCAGAUGCCCUCUAAAAUUAUUAUAAACCUUAAAUGUGAAUGAUAAAGAUACAUGCUGAUAUUUUAACAAUAUCAGAAUAUGUAAUCACAUCUUUAUACCACAUUAACCUAACAGCCUAAACUUCCUAAAUCAGUGCUGUCCUAAACCAUGGGUGUAAGAAAGCUCCUGGAGGGCCCUCUCCUGCAGAGUUUAGCUCCAACUGUAAUUAAACACACUUGGACUAGCUAAUCAAGGUCUUUAGGAUUACUAGAAACUUCCAGGCAGGUGUUCUGGAGCUACACUAUGCAAGACACCGGCCCUCCAGGAGCGGUAUUUAGCCCGAUUCGGAUGGUAGAUGUUUCUCAUGUGGACGUCUGUAAAAAUACAUUUACAUAUCACCUCAGUGAUAAAACUCAUGGAUUCGGAUGGCAAUCUAUUCAAAGAGUUCUGUGAUCCUACGAACCCACUGCUCACGUGACCAGUCACAUAAUUGUCUGCUGUAAAUAAAAUUAAUUUUAUUUACAAAAUGUAUUCUUAUUAUUCCAAGCAUAUUUUAUAAUAUAUAAUCCUAUUUAUUAUUUGAUUAUUUAAAUCUCCUGUUUAAAAAGACACGCUAUAGUUGUAUAUAAUUAUACCUGAUAUAGUUAUGUAGCCUAUAUAUCCAUUUAUAAUACACAUUUUAAAACUGCU